rnacentral:rRNA from 1 species
ACAUGCAAGUCGAACGGAGUUUAUGAAGUUUUCGGACAGAAUAAACUUAGUGGCGGACGGGUGAGUAACGCGUGGGUAACCUGCCUCAUACAGGGGGAUAACAGUUGGAAACGGCUGCUAAAACCGCAUAACAUUGCGACACCGCAUGGUGAUGCAAUUAAAUAUUUAUAGGUAUGAGAUGGGCCCGCGUCUGAUUAGCUAGUUGGUGAGGUAAUGGCCCACCAAGGCGACGAUCAGUAGCCGGCUUGAGAGAGUGACCGGCCACAUUGGGACUGAGACACGGCCCAAACUCCUACGGGAGGCAGCAGUGGGGAAUAUUGCACAAUGGGGGAAACCCUGAUGCAGCGACGCCGCGUGAGUGAAGAAGUAUUUCGGUAUGUAAAGCUCUAUCAGCAGGGAAGAAAAUGACGGUACCUGACUAAGAAGCCCCGGCUAACUACGUGCCAGCAGCC